GAGGGUGUAGCUCAGACAUAGAGUGUGUGCUUAGCAUUCACAAGUCCUGGGUUUAAUUCCCAGUACUUCCA
rnacentral:tRNA from 1 species